rnacentral:rRNA from 1 species
UGGGCAAWUUGCCCYMGUAACGGCGAGUGAAGCGGCAAGAGCUCAAAUUUGAAAGCUGGCCCCUUCGGGGUCCGCGUUGUAAUUUGCAGAGGAUGCUUCGGGUGCAGCCCCCGUCUAAGUGCCCUGGAACGGGCCGUCAUAGAGGGUGAGAAUCCCGUCUGGGACGGGGUGUCUGCGUCCGUGUGAAGCUCCUUCGACGAGUCGAGUUGUUUGGGAAUGCAGCUCUAAAUGGGUGGUAAAUUUCAUCUAAAGCUAAAUACUGGCCGGAGACCGAUAGCGCACAAGUAGAGUGAUCGAAAGAUGAAAAGCACUUUGAAAAGAGAGUUAAACAGCACGUGAAAUUGUUGAAAGGGAAGCGUUUGCGACCAGACUCGCCCGCGGGGUUCAGCCGGCAUUCGUGCCGGUGUACUUCCCCGUGGGCGGGCCAGCGUCGGUUUGGGCGGCCGGUCAAAGGCCCUCGGAAUGUAUCACCUCUCGGGGUGUCUUAUAGCCGAGGGUGCAAUGCGGCCUGCCUGGACCGAGGAACGCGCUUCGGCUCGGACGCUGGCGUAAUGGUCGUAAAUGACCCGUCUUGAAACACGGACMCA